UACGAAGGGAGCUAGCGUUGUUCGGAUUCAUUGGGCGUAAAGGGCGCGUAGGCGGCGGGGUAAGUCGGGUGUGAAAUCUCAGAGCUCAACUCUGAAACUGCACUCGAUACUGCUCUGCUUGAGGACUGGAGAGGAGACUGGAAUUCACGGUGUAGCAGUGAAAUGCGUAGAUAUCGUGAGGAAGACCAGUGGCGAAGGCGGGUCUCUGGACAGUUCCUGACGCUGAGGCGCGAAGGCCAGGGGAGCAAACGGG
rnacentral:rRNA from 1 species